AGUUCUUUGGGCCAGUGGUGAAGCCAUCUGUCUCACACACAGAAGAUCGUGAGUUCAAACCUCACAAGAACUA